CAGUGGGGAAUCUUGGACAAUGGGGGCAACCCUGAUCCAGCCAUGCCGCGUGAGUGAUGAAGGCCUUAGGGUCGUAAAGCUCUUUCGCCUGUGAAGAUAAUGACGGUAGCAGGUAAAGAAACCCCGGCUAACUCCGUGCCAGCAGCCGCGGUAAUACGGAGGGGGUUAGCGUUGUUCGGAAUUACUGGGCGUAAAGCGCACGUAGGCGGACUGGAAAGUUGGGGGUGAAAUCCCAGGGCUCAACCCUGGAACUGCCUCCAAAACUAUCAGUCUAGAGUUCGAGAGAGGUGAGUGGAAUUCCGAGUGUAGAGGUGAAAUUCGUAGAUAUUCGGAGGAACACCAGUGGCGAAGGCGGCUCACUGGCUCGAUACUGACGCUGAGGUGCGAAAGUGUGGGGAGCAAACAGGAUUAGAUACCCUGGUAGUCCACACCGUAAACGAUGAAUGCCAGUCGUC
rnacentral:rRNA from 1 species